AGAGGAUCGAGGGACUCAUUGGGUGAACCUAACCUAUUGCUUAGAUUCAAUCUGAUUGAGUCUAAGACAAUCUAAAUCACAUAGAUCUGACUCGAACAUUGACCCAAACCUCGACCUGGACUCAGGCCAGAUUGAAAGUCUUUCUAUUUAUCUUAAUUUUUUCUAAAUAAGGGCUAAUAAAAUUUAUCAUCUAUUUAUACUAGCGCAUUUAUCAUCGGAAGAAUACUGGAUCUAG
rnacentral:lncRNA from 1 species